GCUGUGAUAGCCAAGAGGUUAAGGUGUUGGACUUGAAAUCCAAAGGGGUUUCCCCAUGCAGGUUUGAAUUCUGCUUGCAGCA